GACGAACGCUGGCGGCGUGCUUAACACAUGCAAGUCGAACGGAAAGGCCCUGCUUGCAGGGUGCUCGAGUGGCGAACGGGUGAGUAACACGUGGGUGAUCUGCCCCUUACUUUUGGAUAAGCCUGGGAAACUGGGUCUAAUACUGGAUAGGACCAUGCUGUAGGUGGUGUGGUGGAAAGAUUAGUUUCGGUAAGGGAUGAGCUCGCGGCCUAUCAGCUUGUUGGUGGGGUAAUGGCCUACCAAGGCGUCGACGGGUAGCCGGCCGGAGAGGGUGGACGGCCACAUUGGGACUGAGAUACGGCCCAGACUCCUACGGGAGGCAGCAGUGGGGAAUAUUGCACAAUGGGCGGAAGCCUGAUGCAGCGACGCCGCGUGGGGGAUGACGGCCUUCGGGUUGUAAACUCCUUUCAGCCAUGACGAAGCCCUUGUGGUGACGGUAGUGGUAGAAGAAGCACCGGCUAACUACGUG
rnacentral:rRNA from 1 species